CUCCAGUUGAUCGCAUGGUCUUCUGGGAAAGCUUUCGCGGUAUGGGAUGGGGUCGCGUCCUAUCAGCUUGACGGCGGGGUAACGGCCCACCGUGGCUUCGACGGGUAGCCGGCCUGAGAGGGCGACCGGCCACAUUGGGACUGAGAUACGGCCCAGACUCCUACGGGAGGCAGCAGUGGGGAAUAUUGCACAAUGGGCGCAAGCCUGAUGCAGCGACGCCGCGUGAGGGAUGGAGGCCUUCGGGUUGUAAACCUCUUUUAUCGGGGAGCAAGCGAGAGUGAGUUUACCCGUUGAAUAAGCACCGGCUAACUACGUGCCAGCAGCCGCGGUAAUACGUAGGGUGCAAGCGUUAUCCGGAAUUAUUGGGCGUAAAGGGCUCGUAGGCGGUUCGUCGCGUCCGGUGUGAAAGUCCAUCGCUUAACGG
rnacentral:rRNA from 1 species